UUAUUAAAUUUUAAUACAUGAAUUAUGAAAGAUAAUAUUUGAGAUUAAUUCUUAUUAUUUAUAUUAAGCUGAGUAGUUUGGAUUAACUACAGAAACUAUAGUCACAUUUUGACGCGGCCAUUUUAUCAUAUUUUUCAUUAUGAGAAAGAGGGGCGCGGGAGGUAUAUUAAUCAGUAGUAUAUUAACCAAGUGAAAAAUGAAUCGAAAAUAUUGAAGAAGAAGAAGAAGAAGGUAUAAGUUGGUCUCCACGCAGUCCGGAUUUAACACCUACGGACUUUUUCCUGUGAGGUUACGCUAAUAAACCGAUUUCCGUGGUGGUACAAUAUCCGUCACGAAAUGGCAGCCAUUAUUUGUCAAGAAAUAAAUUGUCGUGUCGAUAUGUAAA